UUGCAGCCUCGGCGCCUUUAGGCGGCUGCACUCGGCCAUUGCCACGGCAGUUGUUGGCACAGCAUUGGUUUCUGUCAGCCACUGCUGUCAAUUGGCAGAGAAUUGGUCUCUGUGAGCGACUCCUGAACUCGCAAAGCAUUGGUCUUUUUGCGAGGGACUCCGGAACUCUCAGAACAUUGGUUUGUGCCAGGGACUCCGGAACUCGCAAAGCAUUGGUCUUUGCGAGGGAGUCCUGAAUUUCCUUUGAAGGUAAAGAUUGACUCAAAUUGUACUUUCUGGUUUUGUCCCAUCUGUGCUCUGAAAGAGAAUGCCACAGGGAGAUACAGGAUGGUGGCAUGUACAGCUGAGGGGAUGAACAAUAGAUGGUCUACUGAUGGUGCUUUUUGCUCACUGAACAAAUGCAACAUUUCCUAAGUACACUAGUUUAUAGAGUUUUUCCUGUAGUAUUUAUUUAAACUACUUAUAGGUGAGUGAGUUCUGUUCAAAUUUCAGUGGGUUGUUAUGAUCUGGUUAUUAAAAUGUUUAAGGAGGUGCCCCUGAAUUAAGGUGCAAAAUGAGACCAUCUGCCAAAGUGGAUAGUCUGGAUUUUAUGUAACAGUAAAUGUGAGGAAGAGAGAGGGAGAAAGAAAUAGAAAAAGGAGGGGGGGACGGAGGUUGAUGGGAAGGGGGCAUGAAAGAGAGUGACAGAGACAGAUUUAGUAGAAAAGAUCACCAUUCCAUGGAUCCCAUCCCAUCCCAUUCAAUCCUCUUCUGGUCUUCUCUGUGGUGAGGUUUCGCAAAAUGUAAGACUCCAAUGGAUGAAUGCGGAUUUGGGCAAGGUGGGACAGCCCAGGUACCUCCCUGGGGAAGGGCAAGUUGGGCUCUGUCUUUUGCUACUUUCAAAUAAUAUACAUUGUUAGCACCAGUAUAUCCUUUGAGUCUGCCACGAAUUGGGCAGUGGAUUUUCGGAUCUGUUGUGUUACUUUGCAUGCCAUGCAGUCAUCUGGUGCAAGGCCUCAGAAAUGGCUCUGGGGGCACUUUGGGGGUCUUUGAUGGGCUAUGACACCCCCUGAGCUGCCCCUGAUGGGAAUGUCCCCUGGAUGUGGCCUUCUGGGGGUGGGGGUUGUAGAGCUGAGCCAGUUUGUGUGAGGGAGGAUGGGUGUCCACUGCCCCUUACCAGAGGUUGUGCCACAGACCCAAAAUUUCCUCCUGCCCCUCUGUUGAUGGGAGGUGUGUGUGCAAACCUGGCCUCAGCAGAGGAGUCUGUGGCUGUGACUUGCCCAGCCUGAAGGCAGACAGAGCUGAUUUUCAGGACAGCUGCUGGCUGUGGCUAUGGUGUGGAUCUAUUUUUCUCCCUUGGCCUUGUUCACUUCUCCCGAGACCUGAGCUAAUGGGGCAAUAGUGUCACCUUUAUCUUGCCUCAAGUUCCCAUGUGGGCCUUAACUCCCAGUCCCAAGUUCCAGUCAGGAGGCAUUUUCAGGGAAGGGUGGGCUUGGGUGCUCUCAGCUUCUUUGUACAGUUUUGUCACAAUUGGAAAAAAGUCCUUUGUAGCAAUAUUUAAGCCAUGAGCCAUAACAUUGCAGUCUCUCCCAAGUCCAGUGAGGAGCAGCUGAGAGAGCAGGGGUUGUUUAGCCUAAAGAAGAGGAGGUCCACUCAAGCUGGUUUUAAGUAAUAUUUAAGCUACAGCUUUGUCUGUUCUAAGUAUUAUUAAUGUUCAGCUUUUUAGCUCCAGAUUUCAGCAAGAUCCAUUUUUGAAUUGCACAAGGGAGCCAUCUAGUCCAAAUAAAGUCCAACUAGAGGCCUAACAAUACUAGCUACUUAUGCCAAGCAAGCACUUAGCUACUUUCAAAUGAUAUAAAAUGUUUAGCAGCAGUGUAUGCCUUGAGUCUGCCACGAAUUGGGUUCUGGAUUUUCAGAGUUCCAUUGUUGCUCCUUCCAGUUUUGCUGAGGCCUUGUUGCUCCUCUGUGACACCCUCCCUUCAGAAUGGCUUCUGGAUUCCCGAAAAAGACACCGACACCUCGUCUUUUGCUGAGGGAAAGACUGCAGCCUAGCACUCUGCUUCCCUCUAAGUUCCAGCAGGAGAAGUUUCUCAGCACAAAGAAGGAGGCCAGCACUGGGGGGAGUAUUCUGCCCAGAAUUGGCCCAUGGAUAGACCUGAGCAAGAAUGGUCCAAAGCUGCCGUCAGCUGCCCCGAAACAGAGCUUGUUUCAGGUUUCCCCACCAGAGAUGGUGUUUCAGAACUUCGUGGCUCGGGAGGUCUCUGAAAUGGUGCUGUCUGUGACGAAUAAGGACAAGAUUCCUCGGCUGGUGAAGGUGUGCAUGGAGAGCUGCCCUUAUUUCCAGCUGGCGUGCCCCAGGGGUGUGUACCACACGGUGCCAGCAGGCGCCUCUGCCCCGUGCGCAUCCACUUCAGCCCCUAGGAGAACAAGGAUUAUUCCCACGAGCUCACCUGCAUCACUACAAGGGGAAGGAUAGUGGUGCCAAUUCGGGCCAUUGCUGCCCGAGCUGUCCUGGACUUCCCUGAGCAGCUGGACUUCUCCAGGUGUCCAGUCAAGAGCAGCAGCCAGAAGACUCUGCUGCUCCACAACUCUGGGAACCUGGAAGCUCGUUUCCAGCUGAGCACCCAGAGUCCUUUCUCCAUGACUCCGGCCACGGGAGCUCUGGGCGCUGGUGGCACCGUGCAGGUGACAGUGGGAUUCCACGCGCUGACGGCCGGUGACCAUUGCGGGUGCCUGGCAGUGUGCUGCAGCACAGGUAAAGAAAGAAUCCACACACACCUCCAUGGAGAAGCUGUGGAUGUCAACGUUGGGUUGAGCACAAAUUCUGUGGAGCUUGACAAGACUUUGAUCACCAUGUCAAGCCACAGAACCGUGUGUGCUCCCCCCAGAGCAGGCCGUGAGAGCAGGCUGCACCUCAGAGGGGAAGGCCAAGGACCCGUGGUUGAACUCAGCUGUGAUACUCUGGACCUUGGGGACAUUUUUGUCAACACCCCCCCAUGUCUGUGAGAUGCCAUCUGACCAACAUCUCCAGGAGGGCUGCCCUGCAUGGCAGGAAGAGACAGAGGAGAGCCUGUGACCAUUGGACAGGUAGACUUCCUCUGUUUGUAGAUAUAUUUGGAGAUUUCUUUGGUUCCAUUUAUCAAUGCUUAUAGUUCCAUUUAUGUAUUAUAGUGUUCUGUUUAUAUGUCCAUAUAUUUAUAAAUCUGUAUAGUUAAAUGUGGAUAUGUAUAGAGUUUCAGAAGUGAUAUAAUUAUAUUUCUAUAUAUGUAAUUAUAUUUAUAGAUUUUCAAAGUUAAAUUUACAUAUAAGUAGAGUAAAAAAUAUAUAUAUGUAUGAAGUUAUAUUUGUAAAUGCGCACAGUUAUCUAGUAAGAGGAAUAUGAGUGUUUUACUGAAUAGAUUGAUGUUUGUGUAGGUCUAGGAUGCAUUUUUUACUUCUUUCCCCCAUGGCUGCCUUUUUCACCUCUUGCUUUUCCCCCUGUGCCCGCUCUGUCCCCUCUCCCUGGGCUGGGUCCAAGCUGGCGGCCGGGCCGGGCGCAGCAGCAGCUCCAGCCCCGGGUGUCCCUGGAGCGCUGGGAGCUGCCAGUGGCCCCAGGCACUGUCCCCUGAGGAGCUGCUGAAGGACGCUGUAAGGAAGACUACGAGGACAGCCGGAGACUGCCAGGAGCCAGCAGGGAGAAGCUGAGUGCCAGCAGCAGGAGCAGUGAGCAGGACCCUGCUGCUGCCAGCCUGGAGAGAGCCCGGAUGUCCCAUCUGCUCUCCGUGUCCAGGAGAUCUGCCAAACUUCAUCUGCAGGAUCAGAACAACUGGUGUCCUUUGGCCACCUCCAGUUCCCACUGAAGAUGGGUGUUGCCAGGAUUUUUAGUGAAAAAGCCUCUGCUAGGAUUUUUCCCCUCCUGAGGAGCUGAGGGCCUCAGGAAAGAAAUGUAAACAAUAACUAUCUGCUGCUGUGGAGUGCCACAGGUGAAUCUUCCAUUGGUUCAUGUGGAUUGUUUUCAAUCAGUGACCAAUCACAGCCACCUGUGCCAAGGCUGUGAGCAGUCACAGGAUUUUUGUUAUUCAUUCCUGUUCUAUUCUUGUCUUUGUAGCCUUCUGAUCUUCUUCUCUCUGUUCUUUUAGUAUAGUUAUAAUGUAGUGUUUUAGUAUAAUAUAUAUCAUAAUAAAUCAGCCUUCUGAUCAACAUGGAGUCAAGCCUCGUGUCCUCGCACCAGGGGUCCAAGUCAAAGCAA